rnacentral:rRNA from 1 species
AGUGAACGCUGGCGGUAGGCCUAACACAUGCAAGUCGAACGGCAGCACAGUAAGAGCUUGCUCUUACGGGUGGCGAGUGGCGGACGGGUGAGGAAUACAUCGGAAUCUACUUUUUCGUGGGGGAUAACGUAGGGAAACUUACGCUAAUACCGCAUACGACCUACGGGUGAAAGCAGGGGAUCUUCGGACCUUGCGCGAUUGAAUGAGCCGAGGUCGGAUUAGCUAGUUGGCGGGGUAAAGGCCCACCAAGGCGACGAUCCGUAGCUGGCCUGAGAGGAUGGUCGGCCACACUGGAACUGAGACACGGUCCAGACUCCUACGGGAGGCAGCAGUGGGGAAUAUUGGACAAUGGGCGCAAGCCUGAUCCAGCCAUACCGCGUGGGUGAAGAAGGCCUUCGGGUUGUAAAGCCCUUUUGUUGGGAAAGAAAAGCAGCAGGUUAAUACCCCGCUGUUCUGACGGUACCCAAAGAAUAAGCACCGGCUAACUUCGUG